ensembl:snoRNA
UGCUUUGUCAAUUUCAAUGCUUCUCCAGCCUGUGGAAGGCAUUGAAGUUGGAAGCCACAGCAAGAUUGUCAUAGUAAAACAAAAGGAAAAAUGUGAUCAAAGAUUUCA